UGACAGCAUGUUCAGCAGUGUCGGCCUGUAAGUAAGCACGACUGUCGGCGUCAACAAAAACUUGCACGAGAGACAUACGUCAUUCGGAAGUUGAACCUGCUGUCUACAGCUCCGACGUGGCACAAGAAGGAGCUCUUGUGUCACGAAACGCAGCCCCAGCGAGCUGAGCACGGAGAAUGAAAAGGCCGGUAUCUUCCUCCAUGUCACCGAGAGCUGACGAGAGCUGUGGUCUCCAUUGACAAAGUACUGUUUGGUCACUCAACACGGCUGGGCCUUUCUCCCUGGCUCUCCGAGGCUUUUGUUGAAUGUCCUGUUACCAUGUUGGAACAACGUGAACAAUGCAAAACAUCAAGCAAAGAGGGAACGAAACGCGUCUUAAAAACUAGGGAAAGAGAGGUGAGUUUGACACUGUCUUCGCCGUAUGCGUUAGUCUAAGGAUUACGGUUGUUGCAGACUUGUUUCUAGAACUAACUGUCAGAGCUGUUGAGAGGAUUAGUUGAUUACGUAAUCUUAAGUCGGGCGCGUGGCGGAGGAAAGUCAAGCAGGCAGCAUGCACAAUGUUGUCUACCCAGCGAGAUGUGUGCUCUCAGCGAUUUUCCACCGCAUUUUCCAUUUUCAACAAGAUUUGUUUGAGUUUUUUUGGGAGACAAAACUUAGUCAGUUGUUCUAUAAACUUACAAACUAGCCAACAAACUACCAAAUCUACACAAGAAAGAGAGAGAGAGAGAGAGAGAGAGAGAGAGAGAGAGAGAGAGAGAGAGAGA